GCAGCUUGCUGCUUUGCUGACGAGUGGCGGACGGGUGAGUAAUGUCUGGGAAACUGCCCGAUGGAGGGGGAUAACUACUGGAAACGGUAGCUAAUACCGCAUAACGUCGCAAGACCAAAGAGGGGGACCUUCGGGCCUCUUGCCAUCGGAUGUGCCCAGAUGGGAUUAGCUAGUAGGUGGGGUAAAGGCUCACCUAGGCGACGAUCCCUAGCUGGUCUGAGAGGAUGACCAGCCACACUGGAACUGAGACACGGUCCAGACUCCUACGGGAGGCAGCAGUGGGGAAUAUUGCACAAUGGGCGCAAGCCUGAUGUAGCCAUGCCGCGUGUAUGAAGAAGGCCUUCGGGUUGU
rnacentral:rRNA from 1 species